ensembl:snoRNA
UGACAGUGAUGAACUCUUUAUCCCGAAACUGAUCAUCUAUUGAUGAGACAAACUUUCGGAUCUGAUUGCUGAGUU